CAGCGACCUAAACCCAACGCCCCAGGGGAGCCCUCGCAGCCUCACAAAUAAAAGCACUAACAUGAUUCUGUGUUCCCUUCAAUCACAACGCAGGCACACAUCUCUCUUCCCUGAGCAGCUCCCACAGGACCUGGCAGGCUGCCCCUGCCCUCUCCUGAAGCCGGGCUGCUUGGCACGGGGAGCCCCCGGCAGGCACGGUCCCCUCGCUGCCCAGGCGCACGCAGGCUGCGGAGCCGCUCCGUGCCCCCGCUCAGAGGCGACCCCGAUACCAGGACUGCCCUCAGCCCCUUCCGUAUCCCGGGGGCGGUAAUGCGGCUCCUGCACCCCAGCAGCGCAUCGGACCCGGGAACCCCAGCUGCGGGCAGGAUGGAAGUGAUGUGGAGAGCCCUGCCUGCCCUGUGGUACGGGGGCUGCAGUCAGGAGGCAAGGAGGAGCAAAGGAGGAGAAUGUUGCCUCAUCCUCUGCUCACAACAAGCCCAGGCCACCUGGCAUGGGAGCGGUAUGGGCAUAGCAGGGAGCGUGUGAAUCACCUUGGACGUGCUGCAGUUCUGUGAAGAAGAGGUGUGUGUUUGUGUUGGAAGUGCUGUAAUGUUUGGCACACUGAGACUUCUACCUGCUCACCAUGACUGGUAUUCCCUGUUCUGCAAGACUGGAAGAAAAAGAGCAUAUGCAAUGAAAUGGAUCCUUGGGUUUUGGAUCUUGAGGUGACCUUGACUCCACAAAUUUCCUGAACAAUUAAACUACAGAACAGUUGAUUGCUUCUUUGUUUGUGUGGCAAUAGAUUAUGGAAUAAGAUAAAAGGAGCCUUCAGAACCUACCCUUACUGGCUUUUUUUUUCUUUUUGUGGAGAACACCACCACGAAAAUAUGCCAUAAUGUAAGAAAAUGGUUUUAGUAUAUUUCUGACUUGGUACUUGUCUAGCCAUGCAUUAUUUGCAAUUUACACUAUUCUGAAGCAUGAGCAUUGUGUGAAACUAUUGGUGUGUAGGGGAAGACUUUGUGAGGUUAAAAGUGCAGAGGAGACCAAGAGAGAGGAUUUGUUCUUUGAUCCGGAAGCUGAGACCGGACUUGCACAGAUGCUGAGCCCUUGGCUUCUCCUGGAGAUCUGUAUACUCAGCAUCUCAGUCUACCAGACCUGGAAUAACUCGGAAAUCUGGAUGGCAGCCAAACACAGCACAUUUUUAUUCGAAGCAGUCUAGGCUUUUUAUUUUGCAAUGAUUCCCUCUAUAUGUAUAUUAUUAUUUUUAAGUCCUAACAGUAAAGUGCAUAUGCUUCUUGUUGUUAGGGUGAGGGUACUGGUCAUGGUGCUGAAAGGAUUGUGAUGGGGAAAGUUUCAGGUGAUGUCUCCUGACAUUCACAGCUCAUGUCAAGGAAAGCAACUCUGGAACUCAGAUCUGCACUCUCACGGAUAAAUACACUCUGUUUGGACAGGAGGAUAAACAUGGGUUCUGCUGUGAGAAACACGUCAGAGAAAGAUAAAGAUACCAUUAUGUAAAGGUGAAAGUCAAAUCAAGAUACUCAUUCACAUUGUUAACAUAUUGCAAUUUCCGCAAACAGCAGGAUUCUCAGCUGCAUCUUUGCUUUGGGACAAACCUGCUCAUUCCUUCAAAGACCAGUGGAAGUCACUAUUUUCGUGAAUUUCAGGUGAGCUUUAGGUGGGUCAGAUCCCAGAGUUCCUGUGCCCGUCUUUAGCUGGAAAUCACCCUCUCUCCAAUCAAAGCUGAAGAAUCUUUUUUUUUUUUUUUUUGGCACAUGACAAGAGCAGAGGAUUCACUGCGAUUUACACCAUCACCCUACUUCCUUUCGAAUUAAGCUGUAAAACGAACCCACGGUUUCGCAGGUGCUGGAGGCGAGGUGCAGGUCCUCCCUCUGCAGAGCCGGGCUGCCGGG